AAGAAUAAUAAUAAUAAUAAAAAAGGAAGUUUCAUGGUGUUGUCGUUAUGUGUGGUUCGUUUUCGUUUUCGUUUUUGUUUUGUAUUUUCGUUUUCGUUUCAAAUAUAAGUUCAAUCGGAUGAUACUAGAAUAGAGAGACUGGAAUUGUUGGGCGGUGUUGUGUCCAAGCAUUUAAUUUCAAUUUGAUUCUUGCCUGUCUCUGUGUUUCUUAU
rnacentral:ribozyme from 14 species